GCCCACUCACCGAGUUUUUUAAUGAGUACUUAAAUCACGCUCCUCUCCCUUACCUCUGCCAUAUCUUUUAGAGAGGGAAAGCUUCUUUUUAUGACAUUGAUCAGAUUGUAAAAUAGAUUUCUUUGUUUUGUCUCUUCCAAAUCAUAUCUUAGAUCUAUAGCUUAGGUUUAGUGACUUGUUGUUGUUCAUCUCUGUAUUUGUUUCGGACAAUAAAAUUCCAACUAAGAUCGGAUCUGUUUUGUUCUCUUCUUUCUACAUACAUAAACUCAAAUCGCCGCAGCUAUUGGUUAGAUCCUCUUUGUUCACCGUCAGCUCAACUCUUCUUAUAUAUAUACGAGAGUAAUAUCUCCACAUGUUUAUCCAUGGAUAUAGGCCUAUUACGGCCAAAGGCGAAGCUUCCUACUAUAGGAGCAGAUUGAGAUUAUGAAGAUUUGUUUUUUCUCGAUCUACUUCAAGAUGGAUUCGAUGGGGUUCUCUCGACUUUAGCAACGGGCAGCGCUGUAGAAGAGGAGCGGUGGUGGAUCUGAAGUCUGGCGGCGGAGCUGCGCUGAUCGUGGAUUUGGCUAGCUACGUUUGUGUCAUCUCAUCUCCUUCUCGCGUGUGGACACGUAUACCGCACGUAACACUUUUUUAAUCUCGUCCUUAUCUUUAAAUUUUAGUAGGAUAAAUAGACUUCAAUUUAAAUUGAAGUUGUAAACGCUGGUGGUUUGGGCUUUUUUCAUCAUCUAUAUAA